UACAGAGGGUGCGAGCGUUAAUCGGAAUUACUGGGCGUAAAGGGCGCGUAGGUGGUCACUUAAGUCAGAUGUGAAAUCCCUGGGCUUAACCUAGGAAUUGCAUUUGAAACUGAGUGGCUAGAGUAUGGGAGAGGGAAGUGGAAUUUCCGGUGUAGCGGUGAAAUGCGUAGAUAUCGGAAGGAACACCAGUGGCGAAGGCGACUUCCUGGCCCAUUACUGACACUGAGGCGCGAAAGCGUGGGGAGCGAACAGG
rnacentral:rRNA from 1 species